CAAAAUCUCAUAUAAAGCCGGUUCUAAGCACAACCUACAGCGACAUAUGUGAACUGUGCACCCAACUGUGAAGCUAGCUGUAGCAGAGCUUCCAGAAACUAGCGGGCCUGCUAGAGAUAGUGGUGGAGAUGUAUCCACUCAGUCCAGUAGACCUGCUAGUGAUAGUGGUGGAGCCAGUAUCCACUCAGUCCAGUAGACCUGCUAGAGAUAGUGGUGGAGAUGUAUCCACUCAGUCCAGUAGACCUGCUAGUGAUAGUGGUGGAGCCAGUAUCCACUCAGACCAGUAGACCUGCUAGUGAUAGUGGUGGAGAUGUAUCCACUCAGUCCAGUAGACCUGCUAGUGAUAGUGGUGGAGAUGUAUCCACUCAGUCCAGUAGACCUGCUAGAGAUAGUGGUGGAGAUGUAUCCACUCAGUCCAGUAGACCUGCUAGAGAUAGUGGUGGAGAUGUAUCCACUCAGUCCAGUAGACCUGCUAGUGAUAGUGGUGGAGAUGUAUCCACUCAGUCCAGUAGACCUGCUAGUGAUAGUGGUGGAGAUGUACCCACUCAGUCCAGUAGACCUGCUAGUGAUAGUGGUGGAGAUGUAUCCACUCAGUCCAGUAGACCUGCUAGUGAUAGUGGUGGAGAUGUAUCCACUCAGUCCCGUAGACCUGCUAGUGAUAGUGGUGGAGAUGUAUCCACUCAGUCCAGUAGACCUGCUAGUGAUAGUGGUGGAGAUGUAUCCAGUUGACCUGCUAGUGAUAGUGGUGGAGAUGUAUCCAGUUGACCUGCUAGUGAUAGUGGUGGAGAUGUAUCCAGUAGACCUGCUAGUGAUAGUGGUGGAGAUGUAUCCAGUAGACCUGCUAGUGAUAGUGGUGGAGAUGUAUCCAGUAGACCUGCUAGAGAUAGUGGUGGAGAUGUAUCCACUCAGUCCAGUAGACCUGCUAGUGAUAGUGGUGGAGAUGUAUCCAGUAGACUUGCUAGAGAUAGUGGUGGAGCCAGUAUCCACUCAGUCCAGUAGACCUGCUAGAGAUAGUGGUGGAGAUGUAUCCACUCAGUCCAGUAGACCUGCUAGAGAUAGUG
rnacentral:lncRNA from 8 species